AUUGAACGCUGGCGGCAGGCUUACACAUGCAAGUCGAACGGCAGCAUGGAGAGCUUGCUCUCUGAUGGCGAGUGGCGAACGGGUGAGUAAAGCAUCGGAACGUACCGUGUAGUGGGGGAUAACGUAGCGAAAGUUACGCUAAUACCGCAUACGCACUGAGGUGGAAAGCAGGGGAUCGCAAGACCUUGCGCUAUACGAGCGGCCGAUGUCAGAUUAGCUAGUUGGUAGGGUAAAGGCCUACCAAGGCGACGAUCUGUAGCGGGUCUGAGAGGAUGAUCCGCCACACUGGGACUGAGACACGGCCCAGACUCCUACGGGAGGCAGCAGUGGGGAAUUUUGGACAAUGGGGGCAACCCUGAUCCAGCCAUGCCGCGUGAGUGAAGAAGGCCUUCGGGUUGUAAAGCUCUUUCGGCCGGGAAGAAAUCGCACAGGCUAAUACUCUGUGUGGAUGACGGUACCGGCAUAAGAAGCACCGGCUAACUACGUGCCAGCAGCCGCGGUAAUAC
rnacentral:rRNA from 1 species